UCCCAUUCUCUGCAACUCUUUUUUUAGGGUUUCAUUUCACACCCCCCAAAACCUCACAUUUCACACUUAAACUCCGCACAUUUGACCCAUCUUCGCCUCCAUUACUGCAAAUCCAAGCUUUCACCAUUAAUUCCCAAUCACUAAGCGGUUCAUGGCCAAAACCAAACCAGGGAAAAAAGACCUCGACUCCUACAACAUCAAGGGUACCAAUAAAGUUGUCCGGCCGGGUGAUUGUGUGUCGAUGCGUCCAUCGGACUCCAAUAAGCCUCCCUACGUGGCUCGUGUGGAGAAGAUUGAGGCUGAUCACCGCAACAACGUCAAGGUGCGUGUGCGAUGGUACUACCGCCCCGAGGAGUCGAUUGGAGGGCGCAGGCAGUUUCACGGAGCCAAAGAGCUCUUCCUAUCGGACCACUAUGAUAUGCAGAGUGCCCACACCAUUGAUGGCAAGUGUACUGUGCACUCCUUCAAGAACUACACCAAGCUAGAAAAUGUUGGCGCAGAGGAUUACUUUUGCAGAUUCGAGUACAAAGCAGCCACUGGUGGCUUCACUCCCGACCGUGUAGCAGUGUAUUGCAAGUGUGAGAUGCCUUACAAUCCGGACGACCUGAUGGUGCAAUGUGAAGGAUGCAAGGAUUGCUCACUGAUUUUGAAGGUUUCAUCCUUCAUGCAUGGGUAAGACCAUUGAAGAAGCAAAAAAAUUGGAUCGUUUUUGGUGUUCUGACUGUUCAUCUGAUGAUGAUACCAAACGAGCCUUAAAUUCAUUCUCUGUAUCACCAUCUGUUGAGGCUAAGGCGGAGACAAAGCGUCAGAAGAGAGGAGUAAAUUAAGGUGACGUCUAAUGAGGAGGUACCUAUUUUCUUGCAAAUUAGCUCCAGUAUUGCUGUUGUUGUUGUAGUUGUUGAUGUCGUGGAAAUAUACAGUGUGGAGAAGAUAUUGUGCUUGCACAAACAAGAGGCUUUUUAUAAAUUAAACUUUUUCUGUUCUGUGUUGUCUGAAUGUGGGGGUCGGCGCUGUCAUCAAUUACGCCCUUGUGAGUGCAAUCUGUGUAAAAAAUGUUGUCUUAUGUAAGCGGGAACCAUGAGAACUCAUUAGACUAGGUUUGGUUAUCGUUU